CCCUGCAUCGCUGCCAAGGCCUGUUGCACUGCCUCCUGGCGCACCUCUAAACACGAUACGAUUCUCGAAACGACUAGAAUUCUAGUCAGUACCACAAGUCCCUAUUCGAUGUGACCGAAUCUAGAUGCCGAAUGUAGCAGCGUGAAUAAUUAAACCAUAUAUAGAUAUAUUGUCAGAACGAUGCGGAGGAGGGACACUAUAAUGGCCGAUAAGCGUGAGGAGUGUCUACGAAAGCAUACCGGCUCUCAAGGCGACUCGAGGACGUUUACCCACGAAACCGACGACCUUGAUCUUACAAACGAUCCAUGAAGGAGCGGCCCAGUGAUGCUGUAGCUGCACCUGCAUUGCGUGCGACAAAGUCGCAGCUAAUCAACUUUGUUUUCCCAUUCUUCACUAUUCGUCCCAGGGGACAGAAUGUUUGAAAAAAAAUAAUCAAAAAAUUAAUCGAGUAUUUGUCACCAUUUCAAUGCAUUGCACAGAGUCUUGUGCCGAUCUUAAAUCAAACUAACAUUUCAAAGUAAAGUAGUAAUAAAAUAGAAUAGAAAAAACGACAAGUUUUAUAAACGUUGAUACAACUCCCCUAGAUUACAUGAAUAUGAAGUAACGGGACAACAGCACAAAAGAAAAUAGGUAAAAA